rnacentral:lncRNA from 1 species
GUGAGGCGAGUGCUCCACCACUGCCAGCCCCGGCUUGUGCUUUUCAUGAUCACAUCAUCAAUACAAUUUUAAAAUGUGGCCAAGUAUGUGUUUUAAGAAAGUUUAUUUUUUUUUUUUUGGUACCGGGAUCGAACUCGGGACCUUGUGCUUGCAAGGCAGGCGGUGGAGCCACUGAGCUAAAUCCCCGGCCGGAGAGCGAUAUAUCUUUGUAUUCUAUAGGAAUCAUCCAGGCUCUAUGUAAAGAAUGGUCAGCUGUGCCCAGCUUCCUUCCAGCCAUAAUCUGACUCAGGGUAUGGCCUUUAUGAGAAAUCAGGGGCUUUGAGAAACUCUCCUUUCAUGUGUCAGUGGUCAGCUUCAGCAAAAGGAAAGCCAAGGGGGUGUGGUUGCUCCCUGCUGUUUAGACUCUUCAGCCAUCAGAUCUGUACCUUCAGGUAGGAGACUGUGUUCUGGAGAAUUUUACAGUUGUUCCUUGGUCUUUGGUUUUAUUCACUUUUUAUCUAAUCUAUUUUAUUUAUAGCUGAAACUUUUCUAAGUUUGUGCUUUGUGGAUAAU